rnacentral:lncRNA from 1 species
UUGCAGUGGGAGAAGGCCCUAACACAUGGAUCGAACAUUCAGAGCAAGCGAUGGGAAAUUUGUUUCCUCAAUUGUAGUGCAUUAUUAUUGUUGUAAUAAGGUUGUGUUUGUAAGUCAAUCAUAGUCCCUGGCACGUACUCCUGCAUUAUAGAUAUCCACCAUUGUAGUUUGUUGUAUGACACGUCUUAGUCACCAUACAACUAAUCCAUUGCCA